UGGUUUGGAAACGUUUGGGACUUUGCUCAGAUUUUUUAGCAGUUUAUCUCUUGGAUUGGAUUUCAAAAUGUGAUUGUGCUGUUGUCGAGAGUUUGCUAGUAGCAGUGGGCCAAUAUGUAGGAUCAGGGGGAAAUAUGUAGUUGACGGGCGGAGAGGACACUGUGUAAGACACGACCUUGUGGAUUAGCUACCCUGCAGCCCCACUGAGGGUGCUUUGCAUUGUAAUCACCACCGGACAGGACACGCGGGCCAAUGUACUGGAAAAAGAUAGAAACUGUUGGUGCGAAAUGCCAUGAUUUGGUGGGCAGUAUACAGCUGCUAUAGUAAAGUUGAAGGGUGAGGAGAACAAUUUAAUGGCUGUGCAUUGUAAAGAUACAGAUGAUUGACUAGGAAUUAGAUAAUGGUUUAAGGUGUUGCGAAUUAAGAUAGAGGUACCUCCACAAGCAAUACCCAUGGGAUGAAGUAUUUCCAGUUCGUUGAAGCGGGAGUUCAAGCCGUUUGCAUUCCAUAGGUGGGCAAUCCCAUAGGAUUCCAUAGCAGCCAGUGAGUUUUAUUGUACGCGGUCCCAUCGUGGGUGCGAGGAUUACGAGCAGCAAACUGGACAACACUCCUAAGUGCGCAGAGGUCGGCUUUAUUGGCUAUAACGCAAACUACCGGACUACCUCAACUGGUGGGAAGGCCACCGCUUGACCUACAGGCAAAGGCUUUGGCCGCCGCCUGGAAACUGGCAAAUGGGUAUCAGCCAUGUAUCCCAGUGACGAACGAACAAAACACGAUUGAUGGCAGCGACGAUGGGAUACGUCGGUAAAAGAAAUAUUUUGACGUCCGUCACGAUCCCCCGUGCAACUUUUCUCCUGCCUAAGGGGUAUAAAUAUUUCAGAGUUGUGACUGAGUAGUCAGAAUCUUGCCGAACCAGUAUUCAAAAAAUGACGUUCAAUGCUUUAUUCUUGGUGGUCGUUUUGUGCAUUGUGGGAGGCAACUGUGCUCCUUUCCUCGGAUUGUCACUCCUAGAUCUUCCAGGCCCUGGACAGGGUGGACUCAACGCUGCUCCAUCACUUGGAGUCAACGACGUUCUCUCCCCCAACCUCCUCAGCAAUUCAUUGUUUUCUCCUAGUUCAGCAUUCACCGGAACUUUAACCAACUUUUGAAUCACUCAUUUUUAAUCAAAAAUAUCUAAAAUAAACAAACUGCACAUAAAAUGUUUUCAAAUAUAAAGUUUAAAAU